UACGUAGGGACUGAGCGUUGUCCGGAAUCAUUGGGCGUAAAGAGCGUGUAGGCGGCCUUUUAAGUCCUGCGUGAAAUCCUGCGGCUCAACCGCAGACGGUCGUGGGAAACUGGAAGGCUAGAGUGCGGGAGAGGAGAGUGGAAUUCCCGGUGUAGCGGUGAAAUGCGCAGAUAUCGGGAAGAACACCCGUGGCGAAGGCGGCUCUCUGGAACGCAACUGACGCUGAGACGCGAAAGCGUGGGGAGCAAACAGG
rnacentral:rRNA from 1 species